rnacentral:rRNA from 1 species
GACGAACGCUGGCGGCGUGCUUAACACAUGCAAGUCGAACGGAAAGGCCCUGCUUUUGUGGGUUGCUCGAGUGGCGAACGGGUGAGUAACACGUGAGUAACCUGCCCUUGACUUUGUGAUAACUUCAGGAAACUUGGGCUAAUACCGUAUAGGAUCUCCUGCUGCAUGUUGGGGGUUGGAAAGUUUCGGCGGUUGGGGAUGGACUCGCGGCUUAUCAGCUUGUUGGUGGGGUAGUGGCUUACCAAGGCUUUGACGGGUAGCCGGCCUGAGAGGGUGACCGGCCACAAUGGGACUGAGAUACGGCCCAGAAUCCUACGGGAGGCAGCAGUGGGGAAUAUUGCACAAUGGGCGGAAGCAUGAUGCAGAAAAGCCGCGUGCGGGAUGACGGCCUUCGGGUUGUAAACAGAUUUCGCCUGAGACGAAGAGGGAGUGACGGUAAUGGGUAAAGAAGCACCGGCUAACUACGUG